rnacentral:rRNA from 1 species
GACGAACGCUGGCGGCGUGCUUAACACAUGCAAGUCGAACGGAAAGGCCCUGCUUUUGUGGGGUGCUCGAGUGGCGAACGGGUGAGUAACACGUGAGUAACCUGCCCUUGACUUUGGGAUAACUUCAGGAAACUGGGGCUAAUACCGGAUAGGAGCUCCUGCUGCAUGGUGGGGGUUGGAAAGUUUCGGCGGUUGGGGAUGGACUCGCGGCUUAUCAGCUUGUUGGUGGGGUAGUGGCUUACCAAGGCUUUGACGGGUAGCCGGCCUGAGAGGGUGACCGGCCACAUUGGGACUGAGAUACGGCCCAGAAUCCUACGGGAGGCAGCAGUGGGGAAUAUUGCACAAUGGGCGGAAGCCUGAUGCAGCAACGCCGCGUGCGGGAUGACGGCCUUCGGGUUGUAAACCGCUUUCGCCUGUGACGAAGCGUGAGUGACGGUAAUUGGUAAAGAAGCACCGGCUAACUACGUG